rnacentral:rRNA from 1 species
UACGUAGGUGGCAAGCGUUAUCCGGAUUUAUUGGGUGUAAAGGGCGUGUAGGCGGGAGCGCAAGUCAGAUGUGAAAACUCAGGGCUCAACCCUGAGCCUGCAUUUGAAACUGUGUUUCUUGAGCGCUGGAGAGGCAAUCGGAAUUCCGUGUGUAGCGGUGAAAUGCGUAGAUAAACGGAGGAACACCAGUGGCGAAGGCGGAUUGCUGGACAGUAACUGACGCUGAGGCGCGAAAGCGUGGGGAGCAAACAGG